rnacentral:rRNA from 1 species
CCUACGGGAGGCAGCAGUGAGGAAUAUUGGUCAAUGGACGAGAGUCUGAACCAGCCAAGUAGCGUGAAGGAUGACUGCCCUAUGGGUUGUAAACUUCUUUUAUAAAGGAAUAAAACGAGGCACGUGUGCCUUUUUGCAUGUACUUUAUGAAUAAGGAUCGGCUAACUCCGUGCCCGCAGCCGCGGUAAUACGGAGGAUCCGAGCGUUAUCCGGAUUUAUUGGGUUUAAAGGGAGCGUAGAUGGGUUGUUAAGUCAGUUGUGAAAGUUUGCGGCUCAACCGUAAAAUUGCAAUUGAUACUGGCAGUCUUGAGUACAGUUGAGGUAGGCGGAAUUCGUGGUGUAGCGGUGAAAUGCUUAGAUAUCACGAAGAACUCCGAUUGCGAAGGCAGCUUACUAAACUGCCACUGACAUUGAUGCUCGAAAGUGUGGGUAUCAAACAGGAUUAGAUACCCGGGUAGUC